CACGUAGGGUGCAAGCGUUGUCCGGAAUUAUUGGGCGUAAAGGGCUCGUAGGCGGUCCGUCGCGUCGGGAGUGAAACUCGGGGCUCAACCCCGAGCCUGCUUUCGAUACGGGCGGACUAGAGGUAGGUAGGGGAGAACGGAAUUCCUGGUGUAGCGGUGAAAUGCGCAGAUAUCAGGAGGAACACCGAUGGCGAAGGCAGGUCUCUGGGCCGAUACUGACGCUGGAGGAGCGAAAGCGUGGGGAGCGAACAGG
rnacentral:rRNA from 1 species